UUAUCAUAUCGAUUGUUUUACCUCAAUGCAAUUUUUUCGUAGACUGAGUUCAACUGAAUGAUAUCAUUAAUGACAUAUCAGACAAGAGCUCAACUCAUAUAUAUCAUAUGAGCAAUUGAAGAGUGAACGAGGAAGCCAUGGAUUGGAGAGUGAUUACUAUUUACUGGCAUUGAACUUUUCCCUCAACGAAUGAGCUUUUCCUCUGUAAAGGGCAGAAGCAAUAAUCAAAAACGAAUAUACAUCACUACUUGGAGAUGAGGCAAAGGGUUGGUUGGAUACCACAUAUCUGUCCCAAUCUGGCAAUUUUCGUAUCUCAAGAAGAAAUAAGUGCAGGGAACAACAUUUGUUCUGCAAGAGAGAGCUGAACUUAGGCAAAGACUAUUUUCAAUCAUGUCCACUGGUACAAGAGUUAAAGAGGUAAUCGAGGAGUUUAUUUCCUUAUAUCAAAGUAUAGGUGAAUUGGAACUCCAAGAAGGGGAAUGGGAAAUGGUUUGGAGUUGACAGGUAAUAAGAGUCAUGUUCAAGUGAAGAUUUACAUAAAUGUGAUUACAAAAAGGUUAUUUGUUUGUACUGGAUUAUCUAAAAUCCUAAAUGAAAUGAAAUAAAAUAAAAUAAAGAAUGAUGAAAUAUGUAAAAUAGGUUGGUUUAUAACUGCUU